AGUUUACUUCUUCCUUUCCAAUUUGGAUAGUUUUAAUUUCUUUUUCUUGUCUGAUUGCUCUGUCUAGGACUUCCAGCACUACGUUGAAUAGCAGUGUUAAGACUGGGCAUCCUUGCCUUGUUCUGGACCUUGGCAGAAAAGCUUUAGUUUUCUUCACUGAUUAUGAUGCUAGAGGUCCCUUUGGUUAAGAGCAGCAAGAGACACAUGCAGAACUGCCAGAAGAUUCCGGCUGAUCUGAACUUGCUUUGGUUACCCUGCUCUGCUUAGGUCAGAUUUUUCCUGACUGCCAGGUCUGUAAACCAACAGCAAAUCCACCCCCAGACAAAGUCACUAACUCUGUGACUAGUUAGUAGCAGUAGUCCUCCAUAGAUAUCUCCCCCAGCUCCUCUUCAUGGUUCCCCUCUAGCACUAGCUGUGACUGGCUCCCUGAUGGUCCUGCAAGCUUCAACUUGUCCACCCACAUCAGUGCUUCAAGAGGCCUGGUCUGAAUCUCUUUUCUUGCUAGACCUCUCUUCCU
rnacentral:lncRNA from 1 species